AGCAGUCGCCACGGUAAUACGUAGGUCCCGAGCGUUGUCCGGAUUUAUUGGGCGUAAAGCGAGCGCAGGCGGUUAGAUAAGUCUGAAGUUAAAGGCUGUGGCUUAACCAUAGUACGCUUUGGAAACUGUUUAACUUGAGUGCAAGAGGGGAGAGUGGAAUUCCAUGUGUAGCGGUGAAAUGCGUAGAUAUAUGGAGGAACACCGGUGGCGAAAGCGGCUCUCUGGCUUGUAACUGACGCUGAGGCUCGAAAGCGUGGGGAGCAAACAGGAUUAGAUACCCGGGUAGUCCCUGUCUCUUAUACA
rnacentral:rRNA from 1 species